rnacentral:sRNA from 1 species
AGUCUCCAGACCCACCACUCUGAAUGUAUGGCGCACACUAAGAAUUUAUACGGAUCGGCGUUGAGGCCGGUGCGUGUUCUUUUAUAACUUGUGACGUAGCGAGCGUUUGAGAUAUCUAUCUAAACGUGUCGUUGAGGCUAAGGCGGGGACGAGAGUCCCUGAAAAUUGAGUCGUUACAUUCGCGUCCGGGCUUUGUACCCCCGGGCACAGAUGACUCCGAGGCGACUUGGGGUUAUAUGGUCAAGCGAAUAAGCGCACACGGUGGAUGCCUUGGCGGUCAGAGGCGAUGAAGGACGUGGCAGCCUGCGAAAAGUGUCGGGGAGCUGGCAACAAGCUUUGAUCCGGCAAUGUCCGAAUGGGGAAACCCACUGCUUCGGCAGUAUCCUUGAGUGAAUUCAUAGCUCUUGGAAGCGAACCUGGUGAACUGAAAUAUCUAAGUAACCAGAGGAAAAGAAAUCAACUGAGAUUCCGUCAGUAGCGACGAGCGAACGCGGACUAGCCCUUAAGCUGCUAUGGUUUUAGGAAAACGGCUUGGAAAGGCCGGCCAUAGAAGGUGAUAGCCCUGUAUUCGAAAGGGCCAUAGCAGUGAAGACGAGUAAGGCGGGGCACGUGAAACCCUGUCUGAACAUGGGGGGACCAUCCUCCGAGGCUAAAUACUCCUGACCGACCGAUAGUGAACCAGUACC